AAAUAAUGUAAACUUUGUAAGAAUAAUUUAUUUUAAAUUUUUACCAAAUAAAGGAAAAAUAUCACAAGGAGAAAUACAGUACUAAGAUAAAUAUGAAAGUCCAUUUGGGGAAAUAAUCACAAAGCUUCCAAAAUACAGACAAAUGGUGUGAAUGCAUGACGUCAGUAGAUCCGGCAUCGACGGCUCAAAUGAUGAGAGCAGACAUACGAGGACCCACGCCAAUCACCUUUAGCUCCAUCGUUGCUAUAUAUGGUCAAAUAUUAAACAUUUAAUCAAACCUAUAAUCAUAUAUAAUAAUUCUCUUUAGUUUUAAAAUAUUCUUUGUUGGUAGCACUAAUCUCCCACCAUCACUCCUCCCUCCACUCUCAA
rnacentral:lncRNA from 1 species